AGAGUUUGAUCCUGGCUCAGGAUGAACGCUAGCGGCAGGCUUAACACAUGCAAGUCGAGGGGUAUAGGUUUUCGGACCUAGAGACCGCGCACGGGUGCGUAACGCGUAUGCAAUCUACCUUUUACAGAGGGAUAGCCCAGAGAAAUUUGGAUUAAUCCUCAUAGUAUUAUUGAAUGGCAUCAUUUAAUAAUUAAAGUCACAACGGUAAAAGAUGAGCAUGCGUCCCAUUAGCUUGUUGGUAAGGUAACGGCUUACCAAGGCAACGAUGGGUAGGGGUCCUGAGAGGGAGAUCCCCCACACUGGUACUGAGACACGGACCAGACUCCUACGGGAGGCAGCAGUGAGGAAUAUUGGUCAAUGGGCGCAAGCCUGAACCAGCCAUGCCGCGUGCAGGAUGACGGUCCUAUGGAUUGUAAACUGCUUUUGUACAGGAAGAAACAUCUCUACGUGUAGAGACUUGACGGUACUGUAAGAAUAAGGAUCGGCUAACUCCGUGCCAGCAGCCGCGGUAAUACGGAGGAUCCAAGCGUUAUCCGGAAUCAUUGGGUUUAAAGGGUCCGUAGGCGGUUUUGUAAGUCAGUGGUGAAAGCCCAUCGCUCAACGGUGGAACGGCCAUUGAUACUGCAAGACUUGAAUUAUUAGGAAGUAACUAGAAUAUGUAGUGUAGCGGUGAAAUGCUUAGAGAUUACAUGGAAUACCAAUUGCGAAGGCAGGUUACUACUAAUAUAUUGACGCUGAUGGACGAAAGCGUGGGGAGCGAACAGGAUUAGAUACCCUAGUAGUCC
rnacentral:rRNA from 1 species